GUGACUCACUACGCUUUCGCCUCUUUCGAAACUCUUCGCUGUCGCCCCAUCCCCCUCCCUCCAAACCUUCUCCUUUUCCGACCCAUCUUCUCCCACUCUUUCCCCUUCCCACUCCCUCUGGACCCCACCUUUUGGAAUCUCCUCUCUCGCCUCCUCCAGCCAGUCCCCAAUCCUAGUUGCGGCGACUCUAUCUGGCUCCCUCCACCUGCUCUCUACCGGCCCCUUGGGGCUCGAGUUGCUGCACGCGGUGGACGGUAAGGGGUUUCACGAGGGAUCCAUGUGGGGAAGACGGAGGGUCUUUGAUGGGGAGGGUUUGGUGGGGUUUAACGCCGUUAAAUGGGCGUCUCCGAGCUGGAGGCUCAUCAGGUACAAUAUUUGCCUGGGAUCUACGAUGGCAGUAACAACCGCUUGUUCUUUCUUGUGUUGGGACUGGAGUGGCUGCUGUCCCUUUAAUAUCUGAAAGUGAGGCUUGGGAGGUUCAGUAUGAUUGCUAUACGAAAUCCUCAAGCAUUUCAUCUGCACAAAUAUUACCUGCCAUGUUCUGCCGAGAGGAUGGUCUCCUUGCUGUGAUUGAACAAGGUAUAAUGUCCGUGAUCCAGCCAUUGCUUACUAUCCGUGUCACUUCUGGCAACAACAAGCUCACUUAGACAAGUCAAAAUCUUCGUUAUCCCUUUGCUUAUUGGAUAACUAUUUCUUUAAAUACAUUUUGACUGAUUAUAUAUAAAUGUCUAACUGUAUAGGUGAAGAAUCCACCAAGCUUAUGGCC